rnacentral:rRNA from 1 species
CGCCCUUAGAGUUUGAUCCUGGCUCAGAACGAACGCUGGCGGCGUGCUUAACACAUGCAAGUCGAACGGGAUCCAGAGCUUGCUCUGGUGAGAGUGGCGCACGGGUGAGUAACGCGUGGAUAACCUGCCCUGGUAUCUGGAAUAACAUCUCGAAAGGGGUGCUAAUACCGGAUAAGCCUACGGAGCCUUCGGUCUCUGCAGGAAAAGGUGGCCUCUAUUUAUAAGCUACCGUAUCAGGAUAGGUCCGCGUACCAUUAGCUAGUUGGUAGGGUAAUGGCCUACCAAGGCUACGAUGGUUAGCUGGUCUGAGAGGAUGAUCAGCCACACUGGAACUGAGACACGGUCCAGACUCCUACGGGAGGCAGCAGUGGGGAAUUUUGCGCAAUGGGGGAAACCCUGACGCAGCAACGCCGCGUGAGUGAUGAAGGCUUUCGGGUCGUAAAGCUCUGUCAGUAGGGAAGAAAUGAGACGUGCUAAUACCACGUUUUCUUGACGGUACCUA